rnacentral:rRNA from 2 species
CGCGGUUAGACUUUAAACCAGUAAUUUUUUUAAAUUUAAAAUUAGCUAACUAAUAUAUUGUUAAUAAUGAUUUAAUAAGAGGUAAAAUUCAAGCUUAAAAUUUUUGAACUUAGGAGUAGUGAGGCUAUUAAAUCUAGGAACUAAACCGGGAUUAGAUACCCCGCUAUACUUAGACUAAAGUUUUAAAGGGUAGUAAAAGAAAUAGGCUUCAAACCCAAAGGAUUUGGCGGUCUUUAAACCAACCAGAGGAGGCCGCCCUGUAAUCGUAAGUACGCGCUAUAUCUUACCUCAGUUAUACUCGUAUACCGUCAUCUUAGUAUAAUUAUAAAAUUAUAUUAAAACUAGUUAUAAAAAUGUUAGAUCAAGGUGCGGCAGUGGUGUGGUAACGGUAGCCUACAAUUUUACUACUAGUGGAAGCGCGUUAAAAUACGUUCGGAAAAUGGAUUUGGAAGUAACAACAUUUUAAAAUACUGUUGUAAAUAGGCUCUUAAAGAUGUACAUAUCGCCCGUCACUCUCUUAGCCGAGAUAAGUCGU